AUGAGAUGUAAUAAGAGAUACCUCUACAGUUUAUUUAUCAAAAACAAAAGUGUUAUAAUUUUCCCAGUGAUUGUUGUUACUUUUGUUUACAUAAUAAAUCCCCCAGUGGGUAGCUUAGCUGCGAAUCUGUUUCGCCUAAGUUUGUAA
rnacentral:rRNA from 1 species